rnacentral:lncRNA from 1 species
UUGUUAUUUCUUACUUGAUUAUGUAUUUUAAGCUAUUUUCAUGUGUUUGUAGGUCCAUAGGCCUUAUAAAGCAAUAAGGUGCAUUUUGGUGCAUUUUGGAGCAGUUUUGGGCUUGGAAUGGAUAGCACAUGCAUGGAGCAAGGUGGAUGGACGAAAUUGAAGACUAAAGAGGCUUGGAAUGUGUUAAAAAGAAAGAAGAAUUAAUGUAAAAAUGACAAAGAGCUCAGCAACCAAAGAAGAAACAUGAGUCAAGAUUACCUUAUCAUCAUCCAUGUUCCCUCCUUGCACUUAAUUGCUACACCAUUCCUUGUUCCCUCCAUCAUUUCAGAUUUCAUGCAUCAUUACU